rnacentral:rRNA from 1 species
AACGAACGCUAGCGACGCGUUUUAAGCAUGCAAGUCGAACGGCAAGAGGUACUUGUACCUCCUAGAGUGGCGAACGGGUGAGUAACGCGUGGGUGAUCUACCGCUUAGAUGAGGAUAGCUUUCAGAAAUGGAAGGUAAUACUGAAUAAGCUCAUAGUAUAUGUAUUGUGAGGAAAGGUGCAAUUGUGCCGCUAAGUGAUGAGCCUGCGUAAUAUUAGCUAGUUGGUGGGGUAAAGGCCUACCAAGGCGAUGAUAUUUAGCCGGCCUGAGAGGGUGUCCGGCCACAUUGGGACUGAGAUACGGCCCAGACUCCUACGGGAGGCAGCAGCUAAGAAUCUUCCGCAAUGGGCGCAAGCCUGACGGAGCGACGUCGCGUGGACGAAGAAGGCCGAGAGGUUGUAAAGUCCUUUUACAUAUGAGGAAUAAGAUAGGGAGUGGAACGCCCUGUUGAUGACGUUAGUAUGUGAAUAAGCUCCGGCUAAUUACGUGCCAGCAGCCGCGGUAAUACGUAAGGAGCGAGCGUUGUUCGGAAUUAUUGGGCGUAAAGCGCGCGUAGGCGGCCAUAAAAGUCUGUAAUUAAAGAGCUCGGCUUAACUGAGUAAAAAUUAUGGAAACUGUAUAGCUAGAAUCCUUUAGGGGAAGCUGGAAUUCUUGGUGGAGAGGUGGAAUUUGUUGAUAUCAAGAGGAACACCAAAGGCGAAGGCAGGCUUCUGGNAANAGAUUGACGCUGAGGCGCGAAAGUGUGG